rnacentral:rRNA from 1 species
UACGUAGGGCGCAAGCGUUGUCCGGAAUUAUUGGGCGUAAAGAGCUCGUAGGCGGUUUGUCGCGUCGGCCGUGAAAACUUGGGGCUUAACCCCAAGCUUGCGGUCGAUACGGGCAGACUUGAGUUCGGCAGGGGAGACUGGAAUUCCUGGUGUAGCGGUGAAAUGCGCAGAUAUCAGGAGGAACACCGGUGGCGAAGGCGGGUCUCUGGGCCGAUACUGACGCUGAGGAGCGAAAGCGUGGGGAGCGAACAGG